GUUGAAUGUCAAGGUCAUAAAAACUAGGGUUUUGGAAAACAUGUUAAUCAUUGUGUUCAUCCAGACUUCAAGGCUUGGAGGAUCAGCCUCCCACGUCCACUGGUCCAGUGCAGGGAGAGGGUGGGUUGAUUGGGGAUGGGCCCAUUAUGUGGAGAAAAAGAAAGGGGGUGAAAAAUGGAGAGAAUGGCUUUCACUAACAAAACUGUGAUGCUCUCACUGAGGUUUUGAGUGACUGCCAAAAAACUGUCAUGUCUUGAACUUGGCUGGAAUCGAGCAAACAAAAUUUUAGUAAGAUUAUAGGAUGAAGUAUUUGAGCAGUGUGGUCAGAAACAAAGAACAAAGAAAUAAAACUUGCUUAAUACAUCUCACCGAUAGCUGAGAGAGUGAGUGAGCCAAGAUUUUAAAUUUUAUUGAACAAAUUCAAAGCUUUGUCUGGUACCUGUUAUUGUGAGUUCAAGAAUUGCAACACAAUACAGCGAUUCUCCUCAGUGGCUGUGGUCUAAGAACACCUUGGCUUUAUAUUUUGCUCUCAGAAGCGAACACUUAAGUCACAGUGAACUUAAGUGACAGAGUCGAGGCCACUCUCCCUCCCAUCGAUCACUGGUCGGUGCCCAUAUACGCCAUCAUCCAUUUGAUUAAACCACUUCCACUCCUUUUUGUUCGUCCACUCCAACCCAUGUGGUCCUCCUUGUCCCAGUAAUCACUUAAUGUUUUUAAGGGUUUUUUUGGCACUGUGUGCUGGUACCCGUGAUCGGCCAUCAGCUCAAAGACCUCCUGGCAAACUUCUCGUUUCCAGACGCUCCAUCUAGCUCCCUGAGAAUAAUACCAUCAGCUACUAAGCAUAAAAAACAUCUGCAUCUCACGACGUCUGGUGAUGUCAUAUUUUCGCAUCAACUCAGCUUACAAGGAGCAGGUACUGAAAAAGUAUCACCUAAUGGAAACCUCUGAAAACCGAGUGGAGUCAAGCCAGCCGAGAAGAGCUGUAGUUCACGGGGUCCAGAUGGCAGGCAUGAGGGGCCCGGCCUGCAUUGGAGUCUGGCUCUAGAGUCCACAGGGGCUCACACUUCAACUGGACACAUUCCACAGGUACACAUAAACGCUCACCAAAGUAACACGUAAAAAACAAGACAUACUCGAGCAGGACCGAAGAAGUUCUCAGUGAAUCAGAGCAAAAAAGUCAAACUAAGAACAUAACUAAUGCCCUCUUAAUGACAACAUCAGUGAUUA
rnacentral:lncRNA from 1 species